CACAAUUGAAUAACGGCUCGCAGCAAGGGUGGUUGGCUCAUCUCCGUAUGUAAGGAGGUGAGCAGAAUGACAGUUUUCGAGGCACUUUACCUCAUGCUUACCUUCGGACUUCUGAUCGUAGCAAUUCUGUCGUUUAAAAAACAAAAAUAGACCGCCUGAGUCUGCCCGAUUCGCGCGGUCUAUUUCCCAAAAAAAUAGAGAGCCAACCACCCUCAAACGAGGGUCAUUCCUUUGUGCAAUCGACCGUAGGUGUUACCCGCACCUAGG
rnacentral:sRNA from 1 species